AUAAGGUGGAAUAUCAAAUGAAUAAAAAUAACAGACAUGGCGGUCUAUCAUCUAAUUAGAGGGGUAUGUGUUGAGAAUGAAGUUGCGCGAUAAAUUAUUCCUAUUUUUUGAAUCAUUUUGCAUAUCGCUGUCUGAAAAAUUCGUUUUAAAGUGGAUUUUUUUUCUAGAAAUAAGGCAAGUAAAGGUGUAGACGAUAGAGUAGGAAGACAUGUAUUUCAUUGUAAAUUAUGGAUAGGGGAAUAUGGAGAAAUAGAAUUUAAAAGUAAAUUGAGUUUAUUAUACUCUGUUGAAUAAGCAAUAAUGGAUGUACACA
rnacentral:rRNA from 1 species